AACGCGAAGAACCUUACCUGGGUUUGACAUGGAUCGGGAGCGCUCAGAGAUGGGUGUGCCUCUUUUGGGGUCGGUUCACAGGUGGUGCAUGGCUGUCGUCAGCUCGUGUCGUGAGAUGUUGGGUUAAGUCCCGCAACGAGCGCAACCCUUGUUCACUGUUGCCAGCACGUUAUGGUGGGGACUCAGUGGAGACCGCCGGGGUCAACUCGGAGGAAGGUGGGGAUGACGUCAAGUCAUCACGCCCCUUAUGUCCAGGGCUUCACGCAUGCUACAAUGGCUGGUACAGAGAGAGGCGAGCCUGUGAGGGUGAGCGAAUCUCGGAAAGCCGGACUCAGUUCGGAUUGGGGUCUGCAACUCGACCUCAUGAAGUCGGAGUCGCUAGUAAUCGCAGAUCAGCACG
rnacentral:rRNA from 1 species